GGCCUCUCUUUGCUUUGGGGUAUCCUCUAUGUGCUUCGAUCCGAGCAAUUGAGAGUAAUUCAAAUUGGGAGACUAAGAAGUUGGUUACAUAUUGGAUUUCCUUCUCUUUGGUUUCACUCUUUGAGCAUUCUUUCGUGAACCUCCUUGAAUGGAUACAGUUCUGGCCUCAUAUUAAGUUAAUGAUCAUCUGCUUGCUGGUUAUAUCUUACUUUGAUGGCUCCUUUUAUGUCUAUAAUCACCUUGUUCGUCC